rnacentral:rRNA from 1 species
ACGCUCGACACCUACGGGAGGCAGCAGUGAGGAAUAUUGGUCAAUGGACGCAAGUCUGAACCAGCCAUGCCGCGUGCAGGAUGACGGCUCUAUGAGUUGUAAACUGCUUUUGUACGAGGGUAAACGCAGAUACGUGUAUCUGUCUGAAAGUAUCGUACGAAUAAGGAUCGGCUAACUCCGUGCCUGCAGCCGCGGUAAUCUGAGCGGCUGGCAAGGC